GCGCCGCAGGCGGAGGGGGCGGGGCGACUGUUGUUCCCGCCCCCCCGGAGAGGCGUUCUAUUGGAGGAAAGCCCCGGCUUGCUGAGCCCCCAGUGAGAAGUAGCUUCUGUUCCGUCCGGGUGAGCUGAAGCCUUUCGCUUUCGUGACACUUGUAAGUAGGACGAGUCCGGUGAGAUUGCCCAGCGGGCAUGAGGGAUCUGAGUUCCAUCUCUAGGACCCACGUGGGGAAGGUGAGAACCAGCUCCCAUGGGUUGUCCUUUCACCUUCACAACUAGAUAAAUAUUAUAAGAAGAUACAGCACCAAAAACAGUGGAAAGACGAACCUUUAAUCCGGACAGCACCUUUGGCUGGCAGCCUGCAUAAAGGACAUAGGAGAAGGAAGCUUGCUCUCUUUGCCCGUUUGCUUUCCUCUCACUAGUGAGUCCAUUUCUUCACUGGCAUCAGAGCCUACUUCUUGGGGAUCCCAGCGUAUACUGAAGACCAGCUGAGACACUCGGCCUCGUGGACUGAACAACUACUGGAUUCCCGGACCUUCCAUUGGUAGACAGCCAUUGUUGGAUUAGCUGGACCACAGCCUGUAAGUCAUUCUAAUAAAUCCCAUAUAUGUAUUCAUAUGUAUAUAUGUGAUUCAUAUGUGAAUAUGUAUUCAUUAAAUAAGUUCAAAAAUGUUAAUAAAUAAUAUAUUUGUUAAAUAAAUAUAUAUUUAUUCUAUAAGUUCUCUUCCUCUAAAGAACCCAGGCUAAUAUGCAUAUACAAUAAAUAAAUAAUUUUAAAACCUCCUGAGACAGCUGUUUUCCAGUAGAUUUGGACAUCUUGUCAACAUUGCAGAUUUUGUAGGAUUUUUGUUUUUACAUGAUAGAGUGGGAAUGCCAACAGCCUUUUCUCAUAAAUGUGCUAUAUCCAAGGAACACCUGAGUGUUGUUCAUCUCCCUCCCAAAGGAAAGAAGUAGGAAAAAAAAAACACUGGGCUGGGGAAGUAGCUCUGUGACAGAUGUCCUCGCCUCAUAUGCCUGAAGCUUUGGGUUUGAUCCCCACUACUACACAAAGGUUCCUAAAAGACUUUCAGGGAGAACCUGUGGAUUGCUUAUAAAGAAAUGAAACCUGAUGCUUUGACAGCCAAGUGGAAGGGCCUAGAAGACAAAGCAUCGACAUUUUGGAGGAAAAAAAUGUAUUUUGAGCUUUUGAGCAUAUGCUUUUUCCUAGUCAUCUAGUCCUUUCCUUUCGCUUUUUUAAUAAAUUACCUCUAUUUCUGUUA